GAAACAUCUAUUCCAGCAAAUCACUACUACAAUCAAUGCCCAUACAGAGGUAGCUGUAGGAAUCCUUUCCUGAAAACAGAGAGGAAAUAUAUAUAAAACAACAUUUUGAAGGUUACAAAUCAAAGGAUUUUCUUGGACACAAAGGAAAAUGUGUUUGUUUUACAAGCAACGUGCCCCCUGCCCUCAGAAAUGGAAUGAAAUAUUUAUCAUCUGAUGUUUAUUGUUCGGCAGCGACUGCAGCUGCUAAAUCCUCGAGAUCCCACACUGAGCAAGAACAGCCUCCCACCGGUCAGCCUUACCCCGCUCGGCCUGAGCCCCUCCACUCCACGGAUACGUGGCUGAGAAUACAGCCGUCGCUCGCUGUGGAGGCAGAUGGGGUGAACCACAGCUCCAUCCUGUCCACUGCUGGAACCAUGGUGAGUGCCAGACAGCCCAUGUCAUUAUGAUGAGUUAUGUCUUGUCUGUUUCCCACCACCCACACUUUUUCUGACAACCUCUGCCCCAUGUCAAGGAGGAGACCAGCUAUCAGCACCAGCUCCAAAUCCCAGUGCUCUCUCUUUGUCUCUGCCUCCUUUUCCUGCUGGUGUUGGGCUCCACGGCAUUGCUGGCCUUCAGACGAAGGAUUCACAAAACUGACUUCACCACAGAACGCCUGCAGACAAGGAGGCCCGUGGAGGAGAACAUCUACACUCUGGACUAGGAUGCCGCAGAGCUCGUCUGGAUGUUAUCAACACGGAGACGCAAGAUCCCAGAAGCUCCAGUCCUUCAUAGAGGAAGUCAUCACCAACAAGCAUUCUUCCCAACAGCUCAUCAAGCCAAGGCACCUCAGUGAACCCAAACAAACGGAGAAACAAACAGCGCGAUCACACUUCAUCACGGCAAAUUUCUUACACCAGGAAAGUCAGUCAUAAAUACAGCUGGGUGCAUUUAGUCACUGAAAUGAUACAUAAAAAACUUUAACAGUAAUAGUAUCUCCAGGUUUAUAUUAACGGAAUUAAUGCGGUUGAACUAAUUGAAACGUGUACAGUUGUGGAGAAUGCAGCGCCCGUAUACAAAUCUGUUUAUACAACGUUGAAAUGGUCCUAAUAAAAUUUGUAAUGACUUCGCU
rnacentral:lncRNA from 1 species